rnacentral:rRNA from 1 species
AGUGAACGCUGGCGGUAGGCCUAACACAUGCAAGUCGAACGGCAGCACAGUAAGAGCUUGCUCUUACGGGUGGCGAGUGGCGGACGGGUGAGGAAUACAUCGGAAUCUACUUUUUCGUGGGGGAUAACGUAGGGAAACUUACGCUAAUACCGCAUACGACCUACGGGUGAAAGCAGGGGAUCUUCGCACCUUGCGCGAUUGAAUGAGCCGAUGGCGGAUUAGCUAGCUGGCGGGGUAAAGGCCCACCAAGGCGACGAUCCGUAGCUGGUCUGAGAGGAUGAUCAGCCACACUGGAACUGAGACACGGUCCAGACUCCUACGGGAGGCAGCAGUGGGGAAUAUUGGACAAUGGGGGGAAGCCUGAUCCAACCAUACCGCGUGGGUGAAGAAGGCCUUCGGGUUGUAAAGCCCUUUUGUUGGGAAAGAAAAGCAGCAGGUUAAUACCCCGCUGUUCUGACGGUACCCAAAGAAUAAGCACCGGCUAACUUCGUG